CCACACCUGAGCCUCCAUUGYACCCCACUAUCCUAGGCCUGGCAGCAGGGGGCGCUGUGUCAUUAUCUGGCCUGUCUCUGGCRGCAUGGCUCCUCAAACGAAUCAGACAGAAAGCUAACAAGUUUGAUCUGAACAGCACCUCAGACAUGAGGAAACCUUUACAGACCUACAGGAACAGCAUCGACAGCCUCAUAUAGAGACCAACAACAGUAACAGCAGGACAACAGCAGGAACAACUGCAGGAACAGGCUGGCUCUGUUUUCAAAGAAGAUCUGCUGGUCACACCUGGAUCACGUUCCUCAGUAUUGUAAUGUAGUAGGUUAGAUAGCCUUGAAUCGUCUGACUGGGAGAGAGGUGCUACGUUGAGUAUACAGAAUCAUCUGUUCUCAUGAUGGUCCUACAGAAAAUGUAUUUUUUCUCCCUAAGGGAUGUUUUAGUAUUGAACAAAUUGUUCACCACUGGCUGGUAUAUGACCACAAGUGGCCAAAUUUCUUAUGAUACUGAUUUUGACAGCUAUUUUAUACAAACUACAGAAAGUUGUAUAUUGUAUUCCCCUGUAUAAUUAUUUGUAUUAUCAAUAAUAUAUUGUUAUGAUUUUACAAAACGUGAAAUCAAUGCCUUUCAGUAUUUAAGUUU